rfam:Schistosoma haematobium scaffold545_16, whole genome shotgun sequence.
AUUCAGCUGACAAUUCCUAAACAGAAUGAAACGCGUGUCCUGGAU